ACCUGCCAGACUCCUUACGCCUCUGAUCUAAAUAUUGAUCUGAGUGGCUUAAAAAGGAGGAAAAGUAAAACUGGAGUGGAUUUGGGGUCUUUAGUGACAGACAGACAAGUUCAUUUCAAACAUGG
rnacentral:snoRNA from 1 species